GGGGAUGUAACCUUAUUUAAAAUGGAAACCUGUGACGGAAGAUAGCAGUUGGAACUAAAGUAUUUGGUGAAUGUUUCUUUUUUAAUGGGUGAACUUUUAAAAACGAUAUGCUGGUUCGGAAGGUACGAGGAGUAAAUUGCAAAGUUUAUUUUCUCUACUCGAUCGAUGGAUUUUUUAAUCAUUCCUUGGAGUCAAUGAAGUUCAGAGAAGGCCUGUGAUGGAAAAAGCAGCGGGUCUGUGUGUUUGUAGUUCCCACAUUUUGGAUUAGUUUGCUGUCUUGCUGAACCGAUUCCGUUUUGACGGGCAGGGCGUGAAUGUGAUGGAUUUAUCUUCAGAAAUGAACAGACAUGGAAGGAAUCCAAUAAGUCACAAGCUAGAAGAUCAGAAGAAGUCAUUGCUAACAACUAAAAGACUGUGCAAACAGUGAGAGCUAGAGUUUCAGAACAGCUGGCAGAACAGACUGGAAAUUGUGCUUUUCAGGAAUGAGCUUUCGCCAAGACAACCUAUACACCCCACUAAUGGAAUCAGAGCUCAGUUAAAAAAGGAAGAUGGAUGGAAAGAAAAGAAAAGCCUUUACUUCAGAGAACCCUGUGGGAGAUAUAACUGUUUCAGCCUCCUGUCACAUUCACAAAUGGUGACUCCCUUUAUGUACAGAUCUGCUUUGACAUAUUAUUGGUAAAAGAAACAUGGCCAUCUUGGUGAUGGAUUUUAAAAUUCACCUUUCUUUCUAUGUCUCAAACAUUCCGCUUCUAAGUGCGGUCUUUUGUUAGAGAGAGAGAGAUUGAGUAUUCCUGAGACAUCAAGAUUCCUGCACUUGUCUUUAUCAGAAGGUUGAUGCUCCUCGUCUUAUUUUUUCUUCCUAUAAAUAUGGAGUCCUUUCUCAGAAGAAAAGUUGCUAAUCUUCUAACAAUUGCACAAGAAGUCUUACUGUAAAACUGUUAAAACCUCAAACAUUUGGCCUUUAGUUGCUAUCUACGCUGUACUUCUUGCUUUUAUAUUUGAAAAGGCAGCUGCAGGAAAAAAAGGGUUAUACAAAAAUGUUAGAGAAUUAUUUCAAUAAUGAUAUCAUAGCUAUUCCUUUUGAAUCACCUACAGACAUUGGCAGGCUUAUCCUUAGUGA